GGAUUCGUGGUGUAAUGGUAGUGCAUUUGACUCCAAAUCAAAAAGUUGUGUGUUUUAUUCAUGUCGAGAUCA
rnacentral:tRNA from 1 species